UGCGUAGGCGGUUAGUUAAGUCUGUUGUGAAAUCCCCGGGCUCAACCUGGGAAUGGCAAUGGAUACUGGCUAGCUAGAGUGUGUCAGAGGAUGGUGGAAUUCCCGGUGUAGCGGUGAAAUGCGUAGAGAUCGGGAGGAACAUCAGUGGCGAAGGCGGCCAUCUGGGACAACACUGACGCUGAAGCACGAAAGCGUGGGGAGGUAAACA
rnacentral:rRNA from 1 species